AAUCUUCUGUUUUUACAGGGGUUCCAGUGCUUGUGACAUGGCAGCAACAGUUCUCAGAUGGAAAUCCGGAUUCGCUUCUCUUUUCCUUUUAAUAAAGAUGCGGUUCUAGUUGCUGUGGAUUGUCCUGUUUCAACAGAUUUGGUUGCGCGACUAUGAAGGCGAGGCCCGGCAUUCAGCGGUCGGACUCACAAAAGCCUGCAGGCAAGCGGAUAAAGGCUAUGUCUAAUGAGAGAGGAUUCUUCCACUACACUAGCUACCAACCACAGAGGAAAGAAAAAGCUAUUAUGGAUCUUUAAAAGAGUGGAAACUCUGGAUAGGUGUGCAGACACAGGGCUCAAAAGGAGUGAGGCACCUCCCUCUGUGACAGACCUUUGGUUCCUUCUCUGGGAACAAUAGAAGAACAAGCUUAAUCCUUGCCAGCUCAUAAUGAGCUAUAAGCUUUCCUUUCACAGCAAAAAUGUCCUUCCUUGCUUUGGUGCUAAUCAGGGACAAAUGCCCUGGUCCUUUUCAGAUCUCGCAAACUUCAUUCCUUUGCUGCCGCUCUCUUCUCUUGUCCUGCGUUUUUCAAGUGUCCUAGGUUGAAGAUGAGAUGGUGUUGAGAUCCGUGAGAACGUUUUGGGUCAACGUAUAGAAGCUUUGCGUUCAAGAGUCUGCGUUCGCAACUCAUCUUUCCAGUUGCAGAAAAACCAAGAGUUUGCUUCUUCCUGCAGUUGGGACAAUGAAGCAGGAACAUGAGGUUGGAGUUAUUCAUCAAUGUGAAAACAGCCAGGCUUUUUUGGUUGUAGUGCUUGGAGGAUUCAGCAGUUAAAUGCCUCUGCAGGCUGCAGCCGAGCAGAAAAACAGCCUAGGAAAAACAACAAAGAGCUCAAACCCCAUUCACACCGUGAAAGGACGAGCAUCAAGACCGCCGAUGAGGCAUGUAGCACACACAGGCUUUCUUCUUUCCCUGCACCGCACAAGAAGCGAGAGAGGUGUACGAGGAACCUAUUAAAGCAAAAUGACACGUAAUCGGCUUAUGGAGCCAGGCAAAAUGAAGAGUUCUGAGGCCCAAACCUCGCAUUACAGUUCAGCUCCCAGUGGUGCUUCCAGAUAACUCCAGGGGGCUACAGAAAACAUUCAUUUCAGUGAUGAAGGAUCUACAAACUGCUACAAAUUAAUACGCCAUCUAACUAUGGGGAAGUUUUAUGCCAAACAGCAUGACAAGACACACAAAACAACCCAAAACAGACAUUUAGGCCAUGUCUACACUAAUCUGGAGUCUUUUCUCCUAAAAUGCUUUCCGUCUGUACUACCUUUUUCAAGCAUUUGUAAAAAGUUGCUUAACCACGUUUAAAUGACUUGCACAUGAGUAAAACACAACGUGCCCUGACCUGUUUGCACAGUCCAAACAACAUGAAAACUGGGUUUUUA
rnacentral:lncRNA from 1 species